AUUGAACGCUGGCGGCAGGCUUAACACAUGCAAGUCGAGCGGAGAUGAGGUGCUUGCACCUUAUCUUAGCGGCGGACGGGUGAGUAAUGCUUAGGAAUCUGCCAUUUAGUGGGGGACAACAUUCCGAAAGGAUGCUAAUACCACAUACGUCCUACGGGAGAAAGCAGGGGAUCUUCGGACCUUGCGCUAAAUGAUGAGCCUAAGUCGGAUUAGCUAGUUGGUGGGGUAAAGGCCUACCAAGGCGACGAUCUGUAGCGGGUCUGAGAGGAUGAUCCGCCACACUGGGACUGAGACACGGCCCAGACUCCUACGGGAGGCAGCAGUGGGGAAUAUUGGACAAUGGGCGGAAGCCUGAUCCAGCCAUGCCGCGUGUGUGAAGAAGGCCUUUUGGUUGUAAAGCACUUUAAGCGAGGAGGAGGCUACUAGUACUAAUACUACUGGAUAGUGGACGUUACUCGCAGAAUAAGCACCGGCUAACUCUGUGCCAGCAGCCGCGGUAAAAC
rnacentral:rRNA from 1 species